rnacentral:tRNA from 1 species
UCUAAAAUGACAGAUUAUUGUAUAAACCUUAGAAGUUUAAUAUGAGUUACAAACUCUUUUAGAA